rfam:Actinobacteria bacterium BACL2 MAG-121220-bin52 contig03019_1_121220-bin52, whole genome shotgun sequence.
GGUCAAGAGUUCCAGCAUUAAGCCCCGGCUAACUGGACGGCAACCCUCCACCGCGGUGGGGUGCUCCGGGUGAGGACCUGGUCGAUUGCAAAGUGCAUCGACAAGCGCGGGUC